rnacentral:rRNA from 1 species
GAUCCUGGCUCAGGAUGAACGCUGGCGGCGUGCUUAACACAUGCAAGUCGAACGAAGCACUCUAUUUGAUUUUCUUCGGAAAUGAAGAUUUUGUGACUGAGUGGCGGACGGGUGAGUAACGCGUGGGUAACCUGCCUCAUACAGGGGGAUAACAGUUGGAAACGACUGCUAAUACCGGCAUAAGCGCACAGGAUCGCAUGAUCCGGUGUGAAAAACUCCGGUGGUAUGAGAUGGACCCGCG